rnacentral:tRNA from 8 species
CGGGGUGUGGCGCAGCUUGGUAGCGCACCUGCUUUGGGAGCAGGGGGCCGCAGGUUCAAAUCCUGUCACCCCGAC